AGAAGCCGUCUCAGCUCCUCCACAUGGACACAAAACGGUUGUACACGUCACUAUACCUCCAUCUCUGUUUCAUCCCCGUCACAUAUUCGAACACUCGCACCUGUUUUCGCCGUCUGCACACCAGUUCACAACACACAGGUUAGCCAGCUUCACACAAUAUUAUGAGUUACAAUACAGCUGUUUUAGAGCUGACUACCUGAACUUCGCAGUGUCCACCAUCAACAGUCGCAUCUUUCACAACAUCCUCAACCAAAGCAUUCAAUGUUUCCAAUCCCUAAAAUACACACCUAUUCAGUUCCUAUCGCUAAUUAUAUGAUGAGUUCCGUCAACUUACUUUUUCGUCUAACCCGUCGCCUGGUCCUCCAUCAUCCCGUCUACCUCCGUCAACGCUGCUUCCCUGAUAAUCCAGUUCAAUCAACAUACAUAAGCAUUGAAAACUUCUUCGGCCUAAACAUCAGACAGUUACUACCCCUACACAUACCUCCUCCUCACUGACGAAGUAAGUUUGCAAGAUCAAGGCACGAUAGAGAACAUUAUCACCGCUUUCUUGUUCGACCCAUUGCAACGGCACCCCGUCGCCUUCUUUCAACCUUACCAUCAAAGCCGGCCGCUCCUCCGACGAUGUCCUCGCACCUGGUUGUGGUGAAAAAUCGUCUUCUCCAAUCUCCCCACUCAUUUGUUCUUCUCGGUUACCAGCCCCGCCACCAUCACUGUUAAAAUCCUCCAUGACAUCCUUAGCUCCGUCGCCGGUUUUCCUCUUAUCUCUCCUUCAAACACUACCAAACUUCUUCGCUGCACUCUUCCCCUUCAUGAAAGUCUUCCAUUUUUCAAACUGCCUACCCUGUUUUUCAACGACCUCUUUCAGCCUCAGCACCUCUGUGCCAAGUUCCUCCACCCGCGAUACCAUCCUAGCGUGUUCUUCCCCAUCCACCAUUAUUUCCCGCUUGAAAUAGCCACUGAGCCGUCUCUGUUUAAGAACCGGCCCUGACGUUACCCCACCAACAGCUUUUCCCUUCCGCUUUUUGUCAUUUUUCUUUCCGUAAGCAAACAGAGGUCCCCCCGAAUCGCCACCACCCCAGUCAGACUUGCUAAACACAUGCCCUUCCCU
rnacentral:lncRNA from 1 species